CAUCCUCAAAAAUGGUUUGGCCCACUGAUUGAGUGGCCACGUUACAAGAUGAUGUCUGAAGAUGUGUGGAUAGUGGCCCAGAGGAGAGCACAUUUCUUUCUAAAGAAAGAUGUGGCCGGUCUGCAGCAGUGUGUAUUGUGUUGUGAAGCGCUGCACACUCUCUCCGGUCAGGUUCUUCAUGG